rnacentral:rRNA from 1 species
UACAGAGGUCCCGAGCGUUGUUCGGAUUCAUUGGGCGUAAAGGGUGCGUAGGCGGCGGGGCAAGUCUGAUGUGAAAUCUCCAAGCUUAACUUGGAACGGUCAGCUGAUACUGAUGUGCUAGAGUGCAGAAGGGGCAACUGGAAUUCUCGGUGUAGCGGUGAAAUGCGCAGAUAUCAGGAGGAACACCGGUGGCGAAGGCGGGUCUCUGGGCCGAUACUGACGCUGAGGAGCGAAAGCGUGGGGAGCGAACAGG